GGCGACGUAGCCAAGUGGUAAGGCAGAGGUCUGCAAAACCUCCAUCCUCCGGUUCAAAUCCGGACGUCGCCU
rnacentral:tRNA from 1 species